rnacentral:ncRNA from 2 species
UCAUGCCUCUUGUGUUGAGGUGCCCGUUUGGGCCUAACAGGGAAUCCCGUGAGAAUCGGGAGCGGUCCCGCCGCUGUAACCGGGGACAAACCUGCAUAAUGUCACUGUUCGUUUUUUUUAAAGCGUAUGGGAAGGCGCAGGUGUUUGGAUGAUCCGGGAGCCAGAAGACCUGCCUGAGCUGAUGAUGUGCG